UUGUCCAGCUUGUGGUCAAGUGAAACAUCACAACUUGCACUGAAUGCUCUGGUGUCUUCAAACGUCCCACAGGUUUUCAGUGUCAGCAAUUUGAUCAAAAACUCUGAAAUAUUUGACUAAAGUGUUGGCAGGCACCGCUGAACUGCACCAUUAGUUUUGGUGCUUCAGUAGUAUUGUUUCUUAUCUUCAAUGAGGAAGUUGGACCUUAUAGUGCUGACUAUAUAUAUAUACAGGCGAUACUGUCUGUAACUGACAGCAGUUCUGAUUUUCUGAUAAAUUUGGUUGAAAAAUAAUUCUCUAAAUAAUAAUUUCUCACGUCACAAUGUCUGAACAUCAGCUAAAAUGUCAGUCACAUAUAGACAACUAACAACUGUAUCAAAACAACACUCAAAACUUCUGCAUACUUCAUUCAUUUUGUAUUAGUGACUGGGUAGAAAUAUCACAAGGCCAGAUAGACUGAUUCUAUAGUGAGAACAGUAGUUAGAAGAAAUGAAAUAAUUAGUGUCCAUGUCACAGCAGUGACAUUCUGUCUAAAAUGGGUUUCAGAAGUGUGGACUCACAAGAGUUGCGAAACUGGGGUUAAUGCUUACAAUGUUAUAAAAGGAAGCUGUAAAUGUGACGGACAUUUAAUUUCCAAAAAUUUAAAUAACUUUUUUGUGAGCAAAUGUGUAACUUUUAGUACUUAGUUUCGAUACUGUAACAGACAGAUCAUGCCAUGAUUUUGGUGCAGACUCCACUGAUAUUUGGUACCCCGGUGAACUCUGAUCAGGUGGUUCACUACAUUCUAGUGAGAAAAGCAUUCGGAAAUUUCAUAGUAAUAGUAAUUCAUAGAAAUUUCAAGUUCAUAGAAAAUACUGGUAUUGAGAUCUGAUGACUGGCAUUGCAAUGGGGGUUUUUUCCACAUAUUUUCCAUGAUUUUUCAACCAGUCAUUGGGUGAGCUGUCGCCUCCAAACUGAUCACCUCCUAAAAUAAGCAAAUAGUAAAUUACGUACUUUAGUGUGCUAAGGCAGCUCUUGUACCUUACAGAAACAAUAAUGGAGAAAGAAAACAAACUACUCCAAAUCUGGAAAACACAACAUAGUCCUGACUGGCCUGGUCGGCUGCCUUAUAGCUUAAACUCCUUUACCAUUAAGUUGAAAAUUGAAUACUGCAAAAAAAUGUAAUUCACUAUGAUCCAACAAAUCAACCACAUUAUGCCCCAAACGUUUAAAACACAGUACACUAUCUAAAGUGGGACCUUUGUACCAAACCUGACUCAUGAUAACCUUUUCAGUUAGCCCACCAAAUGCAAAUAGUAAACAAACUAAGUUAACCUCAAUUUAAAGCACCAUUGCUUUUUUAUUUGUAUAUGUUUAAUAUUUAUGUGUUUUUACUUUUUAAGUGCCAUUUUAAAUCAUGAUUACCACUAUAAAUGGGCCUGUUUAUAUGUUAAUUAAUGACUUGACACGAUAAAAUCUACUCAUGGGGAUAAAUGUGCUGAGGAAAACUUAAACAAACACAGCCAACUGUGUGAAUGUGUGCCCAUUUUGUUGCCGUCUUUGCAACUAUGAGUCAUUAUAUUAGCACAUAUCCUGCCUUUCAGCUUUCAUUUUAACAGAUAAAACCACGAGUGCCUAGUUUCUACCCAGAUCCUGUUUAUGGCUUAACAACUGUUCAGUGUGAUAACGUUAUCUCUAACCAACUGCACCUUUAAUGAACUGACACUUUGAAACUCGCCACUUUAUCAGCGCUGUCACGCCUGUCACAUUACCUGGAGGGCUAAUCCCACAUCCUUCGCCUGUUCUCUACAUCUGCAGGAGAAGGUUAACGUUACCAAGGCCAGCUGGCGUUAGCUAGCAGCUAAUGCUACAAAACAAUGGGGAGGGGAGGGGAGGGGUAAUAACAAGAAAAGCAGCUCAUCCCUGUUUGAGCCGCUAACGCUAGCUGCUAGCGACUCUGCUAGCUGUUGGCAGAGAAAGAAAGCAAUCUGCAAGCAAGACAUUUGACAGGAGGAACUACUUCCAUCAGCAGCUGGAGAUGCAUGGUGAUGGGCCCUACAGGGGAAUGGAGGUCAAAGGUCACAUCAACACUAUUCAAGUGGGUUCAUCAUGAGCAGUGAAGCAGCUUCCAUUGGCAGAGCCGAACGUAGAGAAGACAACAAAGAGGGGAACGAUCCAAGACAGAGGGUAAAGGACUCUGUCUCCAAAAGUCUGAGAAGGCACAAACAAAUCCUUCAGAAAAGACAGGGGAGCAGAAUACUGAGCUGUUACUGAGGUUUAAUCUAAAAUUCUCUGGAAUAAAUAAAAGUACACAUACUGUAUACAUGUGUGAAAAUGGGUUCUCAUUACUGUACAUUUGUUAUUUAACACCACACUAACAGGUCAUUACCAGCUAUUUUGAAAACACUUUGCCCCCCACUUCUCUAUUACCUUUUAUGCU